rnacentral:snRNA from 14 species
GGAAGUGAGGGUGGUGUAAUUCAACAUGUUGAUCACCAGGGUUAAUUCGGAUGAUCUGGCUAGCUAGGUGGGUGUCCCCUUCCUCCCUCACUGCUCCAUGUGCUUUCCUCCCAAAGCUGUGCCCUCAGUCAAAGAGGACAACAUUCCACAUAGAGAUGUACCGUUCAUCAGUCAAGGGUAUACAGUAGCUACACUGCCCUUUCAGAACCUCCAAACAAGCUCAAUGCUACACUGCAGGGGCAGUACCUACUAGAUGUUUGUUAUGUUUGUAUCCAAUUUUUUUUUAU